rnacentral:rRNA from 1 species
GAUGAACGCUAGCGACAGGCCUAACACAUGCAAGUCGAGGGGCAGCGGGGAGGUAGCAAUACCUUUGCCGGCGACCGGCGCACGGGUGAGUAACACGUAUGCAAUCCACCUGUAACAGGGGGAUAACCCGGAGAAAUCCGGACUAAUACCCCAUAAUAUGGGCGCUCCGCAUGGAGAGUUCAUUAAAGAGAGCAAUUUUGGUUACAGACGAGCAUGCGCUCCAUUAGCUAGUUGGUGGGGUAACGGCUCACCAAGGCGACGAUCAGUAGCCGACCUGAGAGGGUGACCGGCCACAUUGGGACUGAGACACGGCCCAA